GCGGAUCCCAGCGGUGGUCGUGUAGCUGAGCAGGCCUGGGGCUUGGUUCUAUGUCCCUGUGGGUAGGUGCGAGGGCGAGGAGGAACCUGUGGGCCUCGGGGGAUCCCGGGGGGCCAGACCAGUGUUCCCCAUUUGUGGGGGCAGACGCGUGGGCGCAUCGCGGGCAGGAGGGGCCUGACGUGCAUUUGCGGGCCGUGGACCCUGGCGGGGGCUGGGAGGACAGACGUGGGGUCCCAGCAGUGAAGCGGGUUCCAGAGGCACAGGAGUGGGUAGGCGAGGCUGGUGGCCCUGGGCCCGGAGUCUGCAGGCCGCGCUCCUGUCCUGCCGCUGAGGGACCCGGUUACCAACCCUCAUGUAGCUCAGUUUGCCCAUCUGUCCCCGUGCUAACACACAGUUCUCGGGAGACGUUCCCCAUUCCCAGAGGAGUAGUGCGAAAUGCGUGUGCCUCUAGUCUUAAGCUGGGCGUUUGUAUUAGUUGGGUUUCCUGGUGUCUAUUUAGCAAGUGAAGUUUCUGGUUCCCUCCUUCACUGUGUGACCUGCCUAGUCCUCCUGGAUUGCAUUUAUGGAAGUUUAUAGAGACCUAGUUUCCAUGGAGGAACUCACUGAUUCCGCCAGGGAGAUGGGGUACUGGAUGAUGGUCUUCAGCCUUAAGGGUACUUCAGUCUUAACUGUGUGUUAUAAAGUUUGAAAGGGAGGGUUCCCUAUGAAUAAGAAGCGCACUUGAAAGAACAGCCCUGUGGUCUAACCUCUCACUGGUGCUUCAGAGGAGGAUAAAAGGUCGCAGCUAUGUUUCCAGUGUCCUCUGGGUGUUUCCAAGAGCAACAAGAAACGAAUAAAUCUCUGAGACAGGGUCUCACUAUAUUGCUCUGGCUGGUCUCAAACUCAUGGGCUCAAACGAUCCUCCUGCUUCAGCCUUCCAAAACCAGGUGUUUAACUGGGGACUAACAUGAAACACUUAGAAGACUACGUGGAACAUAGCAAUGACUAUGUAUGUACUACAAUGUAAACAGCACCUUCUGGAUUGAAUAGUACAUAACUGACAUGACCAGCAGAGACAGGCUAAAGACACUGAGCUGAAAACCCUGGACUCUAUUGCUAAAUCAAGGCUCCUGAAUCCGUUCCCUCUGAGAAACUGUUGCUGUGGUGCUGCCUUCACAAGCACUCUGCUGAGCACUCAUAUUGAGGGGCUGUGCUAUCCGUCAUCGGACAAGCUGCACCCAGAACUGUUCAGCUGACAAACUGGUAGCAGUCCAGAAACACAGUUCUGCUGCAUAGUGAAAAAAGGCCAAUUUAGAUUCUUUUUCAUAGAGAGAAAAACAUAAACAUGUGAUUGAACGA
rnacentral:lncRNA from 1 species